UUAUUAUAAUACAACUUUCAACAACGGAUCUCUUGGCUCUCGCAUCGAUGAAGAACGCAGCGAAAUGCGAUAAGUAAUGUGAAUUGCAGAAUUCAGUGAAUCAUCGAAUCUUU
rnacentral:rRNA from 1 species